GCUCCAGUGGCCUAGUGGUUAUAGCGUCCGCCUCUGAUGUGGGAGGUCAUGGGUUCAAUCUCCUGUCGAGUU